GCGAGCGUAGUUCAAUGGUAAAACAUCUCCUUGCCAAGGAGAAGAUACGGGUUCGAUUCCCGCCGCUCGCCCCA
rnacentral:tRNA from 1 species